AAUAAAAAACAUAAUCUUUAUUGCAUAUAAAGAAAUACAGAAAAGUUUAGAACAAUAAACCAUCUCUGUGUCGUUACAAAAUUUUUUCUCCACUCCCGAGACUGCUAGCCUAGCUGCUCAUGAAGUAGUCCCUUUCUAUUCCUCUAUGCAAGGCUCUAGAAGAAUUUCUGGGCUCUCCCUUUCAAAUAGGAGUACAAGAGCCUU
rnacentral:lncRNA from 1 species